rnacentral:rRNA from 1 species
UACGAAGGGGGCUAGCGUUGUUCGGAAUUACUGGGCGUAAAGGGCGCGUAGGCGGCUUCGAUAGUCGGGCGUGAAAUGCCUGGGCUCAACCCAGGAACUGCGCUCGAAACUCCGAGGCUAGAGUGUGGGAGAGGAUAGUGGAAUUCCCAGUGUAGAGGUGAAAUUCGCAGAUAUCGGGAGGAACACCGGUGGCGAAGGCGGUUCUCUGGGCCUGUACUGACGCUGAGGAGCGAAAGCGUGGGGAGCGAACAGG